UCUCUUCUAAUUCUUUCAUUUUUCCCUUCCUCAAAACAAAAAAACUAAAAAAGCUCCCAAACCCCCGUUCUCUCCCCAGAACUCGGCCAGAGGUUUAGCCAUCGGCCGCCGUGUCAGCCGCCGGCCACCAGCGAUGGCGCCGCCGUACACGGUGGCCGGAGAGGGGAGAAAUUUCAGAUCUAGUCAUUUCAACCCUUCUAAGCCCGAAUCCGUGUUCAAAAUUCCCAAAAUGUUAACAAAUAUGCCCCAAAGUUCAAGAAACCUUUCGGUUUCCGGUCACUGAUCAUCGGGGGUGACUCCCUCGUCGUUUAAAACAUGUACAGGUUUUGGGCAAGGUCAACGAGUGUUGGAGGGAUAACCCAGGCCAUUUUGGUGCAAAGCCGAUGGUGUCUGUCAUGCUUCGGGCGUCGAGUGCGCUGCAAAGGCACGAGGGGAGGUAUGGCGCACAUGGAGCACUGGUGCCGUUAGGUUGUGGGCUGAAUUGGGCUAGGGUUUUGUUAUUGGGCCUUUUGGGUUUGAAUCGGGUUGGUAUUUUGGGCUCAGGUUUGGGUUUCACUUGGGCUAUCUGAUGUUGGGUCUGUUUGUAGUUGGGUUAGUUGGGCUGCUAGCUUUUUGUUUAUUAACCUUAGUUUGGUCCGGUUUGGGUUUUGGGCCCCGGGCUAAAAUUGGGCCUUACACAGGGGUACCCUUUGUUUUAUUAGGACCUUCCUCGCCUUAAUCCUUUAUGCUCAUAAGGGUAAUAGAAGUUAAUUAUAUUUUAUUA